AUACGUAGGUGGCAAGCGUUGUCCGGAUUUAUUGGGCGUAAAGCGAGCGCAGGCGGUUUCUUAAGUCUGAUGUGAAAGCCCCCGGCUCAACCGGGGAGGGUCAUUGGAAACUGGGAGACUUGCGUGCCGAAGAGGGGAGUGGAAUUCCAUGUGUAGAGGUGAAAUGCGUAGAUAUAUGGAGGAACACCAGUGGCGAAGGCGACUCUCUGGUCUGUAACUGACGCUGAGGCUCGAAAGCGUGGGCAGCAAACAGGAUUAGAUACCCUGGUAGUCCACGCCGUAAACGAUGAGUGCUAAGUGUUGGAGGGUUUCCGCCCUUCAGUGCUGCAGCUAACGCAUUAAGCACUCCGCCUGGGGAGUACGACCGCAAGGUUGAAACUCAAAUGAAUUGACGGGG
rnacentral:rRNA from 1 species